rnacentral:rRNA from 1 species
UACGUAGGGUGCAAGCGUUGUCCGGAAUUAUUGGGCGUAAAGAGCUCGUAGGCGGUUUGUCACGUCGGAUGUGAAAACCCGAGGCUUAACCUCGGGCCUGCAUUCGAUACGGGCUGACUAGAGUUCGGUAGGGGAGACUGGAAUUCCUGGUGUAGCGGUGGAAUGCGCAGAUAUCAGGAGGAACACCGGUGGCGAAGGCGGGUCUCUGGGCAGUAACUGACGCUGAGGAGCGAAAGCAUGGGUAGCGAACGGG